AUACGGAGGAUGCAAGCGUUAUCCGGAUUUAUUGGGUUUAAAGGGUGCGUAGGCGGAUGAUUAAGCGUGAGGUGAAAUGCCACUGCUCAACAGUGGAACUGCCUCGCGAACUGGUUGUCUUGAAUGCUCCUGCCGUGGGAGGAAUGUGUGGUGUAGCGGUGAAAUGCAUAGAGAUCACACAGAACACCGAUUGCGAAGGCAUCUCACGAAGGGGUGAUUGACGCUGAGGCACGAAAGCGUGGGGAUCAAACAGGAUUAGAUACCCUGGUAGUCCACGCAGUAAACGAUGAUAACUAACCGCUGGGUCGUAGUGAUUCAGUGGCCAAGCGAAGGCGAUAAGUUAUCCACCUGGGGAGUACGACCGCAAGGUUGAAACUUAAAGGAAUUGGCGGGG
rnacentral:rRNA from 1 species